GUCGUGCCGUAGGGUACACAGCUUGUCCUUGAGUUCCUUGGUGGCUCUAUUGAGUUCUGCCUUGUCCCUUGGGUUGCGCGAGGAGAACCAGAUUCUCCUGAGGCGCCUUUUUUCCGCUACGUAGGCCGCAAUUUCUGGAGACCAGAGGUGAAGGUCUCUCCCAAUAGCUCUCGGGGUCGUUGGAGGAGGAAAACUGGCAAACUCAGCAGCAUUGUGCAUCACCUUGGUGAGAGUCCUGAUCGCCGCAUCGAUUUUGCUUGGAGUGGAGAGUGGAGGAUCCGGGUGCAGGGAUGACAGCAUCCAGAGUGUGAACUUGGAGGCGUCAGUGUGCUUCCCGGUGAGUCUUCUGGGCAACUCUUUUUUUUAAGACGGGGAUGUUGAGAAGCAUUUUUAUAGCGCUGUGGUCGGGUAGCAGCUUGUUAUAGUUGGAGCAAGUUAGUCGGCUUGCCCUAUGCCUUUGGAGAUGGCAAAGUCCAGGAGGUCGGGCAGCAAGGAAGGGUUUGUAGGCCAGUGGGUAGGCUCACCAGAGGAGUGGCAAUCCAGUCUUCUCCUCUGCAGGAAUCUGUGGAGCCUUCUGCCUUUGGGGUUGAUGGAGCGGGACCCCCACUAGGAGUGUUUGGCGUUGAAGUCACCGGCUGGUAUAAAGCGAGGUCGAAAGGACUCGAGAAACUCUUGUAGAUGAGUCUCGAAAAUCGAGUGUCUGGGGGGAAGUAGACCGCUCCAACGGUGACGUCUCCAUGUAGGCUGGAGAUUCUGGCCAGGGCACACUGGGCCCAUUCCUCCUGAAACGCAGGUAGCUCCGUGUACUGGAUGCCACUCCUGAUGAGCAUGGCUGCUCCACCGCUUGCUCUGCCAGAUGGAUGGUUGGCAGGAAUAACAUCGUAGCUGCUAAUGCUUAAAUGGGAUCUGGGACAAAAGUGGGUUUCUGAUACCAGUAGUACAUCGAUGGCAUCUGUUGUUAGGAGGUGUUCCACCUCGGCUCUGCUCCUCUGCAGGCCGUUAGCAUUCCAAAGAACUAUUUUUAGGCUAUUUGCAUGCUUUUGCGUUGAGGAUGGAAGCAACAAGCUGCGUCAUUUGCGAGAACAUCUUCUCCAUCAUUCUUUCGACCAUUCCUUCGAAGCGAGCAAACAUUUGUUCCAUGUUACUGGGUUGCGGAGCUUCAAGUGGGGUUUGACGGGUUUGGUUGGGAUUGGUUUGCUGAGGCACUUGGGUAGACAUGAGCGCAUCUUUGUAGCUCAUAUUGGAGAUACUUGGGAGCUUGGUGGUGCAGGGCUUGCUGAUAGGGGUGGCCGGUCUGGGUUUGGGGGCUUGCUGUGCCUUUGCCUUUUUAUAAGCAGGGCACCCUCUAAACGAGGCAGGGUGGUCCGCUUGGCAGUGAAGGCAGCAUGCCUUCUCGUUCUCCUUCUUCGCGCAUGCUCGUGUGUCGUGAUGUCCACCACAUUUUACACAGCGGUGUUCUAGAAAGCAGUAGCGUUGGGGGUGUCCAAAGCCUUGGCAUCUGAAGCAUUGCGGCACGUCAUUAAAUUUGAGCGGAGGCUCGAUGGUGACGACCGACCUGCACAGUCUCCUGAUCUGGUAUACCUCCUCGUUGUUGCUAGCAGGUUCGAGGUUGGCGAAGAAGAUCCCAAGGGGUUCUUUAGUUUUCCUCCCAAUAGGAUUGUGGAGGUCCCUGACCUUAUGUCCCAGCUUUUCCAGUUCUUCUUGGAUUUCGGCACGAUCAGCGGUGUGAGGUAAACCCUUGAUUACGACUCUGUAGGCUCUCUCAUCCCUGGGUUGGAAUGUGCGAUGCUUUUAUUCUGGGCCACGAGUUCCUGACGUAGCUCAGUAUAAGACUCCUUGUCGGGCAUCAUAACUCGCACGUAUUUCUUUCCGUUUUAUAUGAGAAGUCUUUGCUGGGGCCCACGAGAGUCGUAAUCAUCUUCAACAAUGCAGAUAUGUUGGUCACGUCCGGGAUGAAGAUUGGGGGUGGCUUGAAAGUCCUCGGAGUAGGCUUGGGCUUAGUGACGCGCAUGAAUGGAUUAACGGGAUUCCUACUGUCCCUAUCUACUAUUUAGCGAAACCACAGCCAAGGGAACGGGCUUGGAAUAAGUAUUAGGGAAAGAAGACCCUUUUGAGCUUGACUCUAAUCUGGCAGUGUAAGGAGACAUAAGAGGUGUAGAAUAAGUGGGAGAUAUUAGACCUCGGUUUGGUGUCGUCAAUGAAAUACCACUACUCUUAUUGUUUCCUUACUUACUUGAUUAAAUGGAACGUGUAUCAUUUCCUAGCCAUUAUACGGAUAUAUUUAUUAUAUCUUAUGGUAUUGGGUUUUGAUGCAAGCUUCUUGAUCAAAGUAUCACGAGUUUGUUAUAUAAUCGCAAACAAAUUCUUUAAUAAAACGAUGCAUUUAUGUAUUUUUGAUUUGAAAAUUUGGUAUAACUCCAAUUGCUCAGGUAUGAUCCAAUUCAAGGAAAUUGACUCGGUACAUCUCUCAAAUAAUAACGCAGGUGUCCCAAGGCCAACUCAGUGCGGACAGAAACCACACAUAGAGCAAAAGGGCAAAUGCUGACUUGAUCUCGGUGUUCAGUAAACACAGGGACAGCAAAAGCUCGGCCUAUCGAUCCUUUUGGUUUAAAGAGUUUUUAACAAGAGGUGUCAGAAAAGUUACCAUGGGGAUAACUGGCUUGUGGCGGCCAAGCGUUCAUAGCGACGUCGCUUUUUGAUCCUUCGAUGUCGGCUCUUCCUAAUAUUGUGAAGCAAAAUUUACCAAGCGUUGGAUUGUUCACCCAUGCAAGGGAACGUGAGCUGGGUUAAGACCCUCGUGAGACAGGUUAGUUUUACCAAAGACAAGAGAAUAACAAGAUGCGUAACGCCAUAGGAUUUUUUGGAGCACGAUUUUUUCGCUGGCUCCAGAGGUGGCUCCAGGCUCUCGUGAAUUUUUGUUCGUGAGCGAGAGAGCGGAGAGCGCUACAGCGAACAGCUCUUUUCUACGCAUACAGUGAUAGCACACAACUGUAUGUGUGCACACGGAUGCUCGUGCAUUUUAAAUGUGACAAAAUAUGCCCUUCACCUUUGAAGAUCUUAGACUUUAAAUCUAUAUUAUUUUUGAUCAUGCGAAAAAUUCUUAUUUUGCAUUGCCUUAACGUUAUUAUUAUUUAAUUAAAGCUUAGAAAUAGUAAUAGCAGAAUCUUAAUAUCAUAAUAAUAUAAACAGUUUUUACAAUAAACAGAUUUCAUAUUUUUAUUUAUUUUAUAUAUGUUGUUGUUUUUAUGUUUUCUACUGCUUAUUGUUUUUUUAUGAAAUAUUUAUUUCUCAAUGUAAUGUCUUCCUUUUGGAAAAUG
rnacentral:rRNA from 1 species